rnacentral:tRNA from 1 species
GGAUUGUGGCUCAGUGGUAGAGAGUUCGCCAGCACAUGCGAAGCCCUGGGUUUGAUCCCCGGCACCA